CGAAACCCGGUGAUCUAGCCAUGAGCAGGUUGAAGGUUGAGUAACAUCAACUGGAGGACCGAACCCACUAACGUUGAAAAGUUAGGGGAUGACUUGUGGCUGGGGGUGAAAGGCCAAUCAAACCGGGAGAUAGCUGGUUCUCCCCGAAAUCUAUUUAGGUAGAGCCUCGGACGAAUUCCAUUGGGGGUAGAGCACUGUUAAGGCUAGGGGGUCAUCCCGACUUACCAACCCUUUGCAAACUCCGAAUACCAAUGAGAACUAUCCGGGAGACACACGGCGGGUGCUAACGUCCGUCGUGAAGAGGGAAACAACCCAGACCGCCAGCUAAGGUCCCAAAAUAUUGCUAAGUGGGAAACGAUGUGGGAAGGCAUAGACAGCUAGGAGGUUGGCUUAGAAGCAGCCACCCUUUAAAGAAAGCGUAAUAGCUCACUAGUCGAGUCGGCCUGCGCGGAAGAUGUAACGGGGCUAAACCAUGCACCGAAGCUGCGGCAGCGACACUAUGUGUUGUUGGGUAGGGGAGCGUUCUGUAAGCCGUUGAAGGUGUCCUGUGAGGGAUGCUGGAGGUAUCAGAAGUGCGAAUGCUGACAUAAGUAACGAUAAAGCGGGUGAAAAGCCCGCUCGCCGGAAGACCAAGGGUUCCUGUCCAACGUUAAUCGGGGCAGGGUG
rnacentral:rRNA from 14 species